AUGAAGUGGAGCGUGCGGGGAGCCUGCGCCGCGCUCUCCAGCUGCCUCCUGCUCGCCUGCGCCCUCAGCGCCGCCGCCGUGGGCCUCAAGUGCUUCUCGCUGGGCUCCGAGCUGAAGGGAGAGCCCUUCCGCCUGGGCACCGCCGCCGGCGCCUUCUACUCGGGGCUGCUGCUGGCCGCCGGCCUCUCGCUGCUCGCCGCCGCGCUACUCUGCUGCCGCCCGCCCGACGAGGCGCCCGCGGCCCCGGCUCCGGCCCCCGACCCGGGCAGCGGCCCCGGCCCCGGCCCCGGCCCCGGCCCCGGCCCCGGCCCCGGCCCCGGCCCUGGCCCUGGCGGGAGCGAGGCUGCAGCGGCCGCACCGUCGGGGCCGGGAGAGAAGGCGUCGCCCGGGGGGCGGCAGAACUUCCUGCUGCUGGGGGUGCUGGUGUUCAUGCUGGGCGUGCUGAGCGCUUUCGCCGGCGCCGUCAUCGACGGCGACACCGUGUCGCUAGUGGAGAGGAAGUACUCGCACUACUGCUUGCUGCAGCCCGGCGGCGCGGCCCGCCCGCGGAGCGGCCCCGCGGCCCCCGACGGCUCGGCGGCGGCGCUCCGCUGCCAGAAGCUGCGGGACUACCAGCGCGGCUUGGUGCUCUCCACCGUCUUCAACGCGCUGGAGUGCCUGCUGGGCCUGCUCAACUUGCUCCUCGUCAAGAACUACAAGGCCUCGCAGCAGCGCGGGCGCCGGCGGCGGCGGCGGAGGGCGGCCCCGGCAGCGGCGGCCCCGGCGGGCGGGCGGCGGCGGCGGCGGAGGGGCGGCGGCGGGCGGAGGGCGACUCGCCACAGCCAGGGCUCCCUCUUUUCGGGCGGCGAGCCCGAGCUCAGCCCCGGGGACUGCCCCUUCCAGGCCGUCUCCUACAUCAACGUGGGCGUCUUCCACGUCUUCGACGAGGCCGGCGUGGAGGUGCACUGCGGCGGGCACCCCUCCGUCGAGCUGCCCGGCUACUCGCCUAUGGAUCCCGAGUUGAACGCCUCCUACCCGUACUGCUACCCGCUGCCCAGCGAGCAGCCCCCCGCCUACGAAGAGAUCUACCCCGGGGAGCCCUGCGCCCACGGCACCUAG
rnacentral:lncRNA from 1 species